CUCCAUCGUUGCCUUGUUUAUGUAAAGCUUCACCAAACAUUGUAUAAGGUGUACAUUUUAAUAUUAAGCGUCGUUUAAUCUUUUCAUUGAAAUUAGGUGGAAAGGUUUGAAAUGUCAAGUAUUGAAUUAUUUCAUUAUACUCUGGAGUAAUUACAUCUACCACAAACAAUUUCGCAUCGGAUAGUGUAUCGUUAAUGGAUUUAUUACUUUAUAUAUUGGAUAAUCGAGAUAAAUGGUCCGUAUAGGAAUGUGAUUUUCUUGGUCUUAUUUGCUUAGUGAAGUCAAAUUCCUACAAGAGUAAAAUCCAUCAUGCAAUACGACCACUCAAUUGAGGCUUAUUAAUCAUAUAUUUUAAAACAUCAUGAUUGACAUGAAAAUAAAAUUUAUAACCAA
rnacentral:lncRNA from 1 species